rnacentral:tRNA from 1 species
GGGGAUUUAGCUCAGCGGUAGAGCGCUUCCCUAGCAAGCACAAGGCCCUGGGUUCGAUCCCCAGCUCCG